GCAAUCUGCACCAAGUGCCUUCCCCUGUAUGCUGUUUGCUUUCACAAGGCUACCAGUCAAGCGGUUGAAAUCCCUUCAAGUAUACUGCAUCCCAUUACAGAGACAGCAAACCUGUGACAUAACCCCAGUGGUCAUGAAGGAGAAAAUUCUCCUGCAAAAGCCAGAAGUGAGGAAGUUGAUAUGUUUGAAUUCUAUGUCUCGUAAUGAUGAAGAACAAAGGCAGCUGACUGGCAAAGAAUAGAAACACGGCAAGAAACGUCAAAAAGUGGCUGCAAAUAAAUCCCUCUAAUAAGGAAAUAAUAGUUAUAUUAAUUACAUAGCUGCAUAAAAGAUAAAGUCCAGAAUUUAAGAUAGAUUGGUGACUUUGACUAUCACAGAAAAUCACCGGAAUAAAUUUUUUGAAGAUGUUGAAUAUUGUCUGUUGUGUAUUAAAAGAGUAAUUAAUCUAGAUGGCACACUGUUAAGAUUGAAAUGUCAAUAAAAUAAAUUGGUGUGGUGCUCAAA